UACGGAGGAGGCAAGCGUUAUCCGGAAUUAUUGGGCGUAAAGCGUCCGUAGGUGGUUUAGUAAGUCUGCUGUUAAAGCGCGGGGCUUAACUCCGUAUCGGCAGUGGAAACUACUAGACUAGAGUGUGGUAGGGGUAGAGGGAAUUCCCAGUGUAGCGGUGAAAUGCGUAGAUAUCAGGAGGAACGCCGAUGGCGAAAGCAGGUACCUGGACCAUUACUGACACUCAGCUGCGAAAGCUAGGGGAGCAAACAGG
rnacentral:rRNA from 1 species